UACGUAGGUGGCAAGCGUUGUCCGGAUUUACUGGGCGUAAAGAGCGCGCAGGCGGUCGUUCAAGUCGAGUGUGAAAGCCCCCGGCUCAACUGGGGAGGGUCACUCGAUACUGAUCGACUCGAAGGCAGGAGAGGGAAGUGGAAUUCCCGGUGUAGUGGUGAAAUGCGUAGAUAUCGGGAGGAACACCAGUGGCGAAGGCGACUUUCUGGCCUGUUCUUGACGCUGAGGCGCGAAAGCUAGGGUAGCAAACGGG
rnacentral:rRNA from 1 species